GAUGAACGCUGACGGUAUGCUUAACACAUGCAAGUCAACUUGUACUUUGGGUUGUGUGGCGGACGGGUGAGUAACGCGUAAAGAACUUGCCUUACAGAUAGGGACAACAUUUGGAAACGAAUGCUAAUACCGGAUAUUAUGUUUAUAUGGCAUCGUAUUAUUAUGAAAGCUAUAUGCGCUGGGAGAGAGCUUUGCUUCCGUUUAGCUAGUUGGAGGGUUACCGGCUCACCUAGGCGAGGAUGGGUAGCCGGCCUGAGAGAGUGAUCGACCACAAGGGGACGGAGAGACGGACCGUACACACACCGGAGGCAGGCAUGGGGAAUAUAUGGCAAUGGACCAAGAGUCUGCUCAAGCAAUUCUGUGUGCACAAUGAAGUUUUUCGGAGUGUAGAAUGCUUUCAGUUGCGAAGAAGAAAAUGACGGUACCAACAGAAGAAGUGACGGCUAAAUCCGUG
rnacentral:rRNA from 1 species